rnacentral:rRNA from 1 species
CUCGAGGCCAGAUCUAGAGUUUGAUCCUGGCUGAGAACGAACGCUGGCGGCGUGCCUAACACAUGCAAGUCGCGCGAGAAAGUUCCCUUCGGGGAACGAGUAAAGCGGCGAACGGGUGAGUAACGCGUGGGUAACGUGCCCUUCGGUGGGGUAUAACCCAGGGAAACUUGGGCUAAUACCGCACAAGCUCCAGGGGCCUUCGGUCUCCUGGAGGAAAGAUUGCCUCUGUUUCAUGCGAUCGCCGAAGGAGCGGCCCGCGUCCCAUUAGCCAGUUGGUGGGGUAAUGGCCCACCAAGGCUGCGAUGGGUAGCCGGCCUGAGAGGGCGAUCGGCCACACUGGGACUGAGACACGGCCCAGACUCCUACGGGAGGCUGCAGUGGAGAAUUUUGCGCAAUGGGCGAAAGCCUGACGCAGCGACGCCGCGUGAGGGAUGAAGGUCCUCGGAUCGUAAACCUCUGUCGCGAGGGACGAACAACCGGCGAAUGAAUAAGUCGUCGGCCUGACGGUACCUCGUGAGAAAGCCCCGGCUAACUCCGUGCCAGCAGCCGCGGUAACACGGAGGGGGCCAGCGUUGUUCGGAAUCACUGGGCGUAAA